CAAAGUCUAAAAAUUUUAUACAAUUCGGAUGUUUGUUAAUUUUUUAUACCAACUCGAAACCAAAAAUUUUCCAAGCAGAGCAGCACUCGCAAUUGAUGUGGUGUGAACAGAGUAUUGGUCAGUUGGUUUAGUUUUAGCAACUUGCUUACAUUUCUAAGUCUUCCCGACUCACAAUUUGGGCUGCCUGCAACUGCCGCCUGCUGUCAGACACGCUUUUGUUUUUAGGCAUUUCUCGGGCUGUUGCAAGUUGCAACUUUGCUUCACCUGCGUAAUAUUUUAUUUUCAACUUUCAACUCUGGAGUGGGAGUGGGUGUGUGCUGUAUGCGUGUUUUCGAAAUAGUUAUGUACUUAUAGUUGAACCCUUUAGCGUGCUUUCUUAUGCUCGAGAGUAAAAGAGUUUUCGCAACUUUUUUGCCUGCACUGUUUUUGACUGCACUCGCCUGGUAUGUGACCCCUCCUCCACUCUUCUCCAUGUAGCAGGCCUACGGGUUGCCCUAAAACCUCCCGACUACUAUGGUCUGUCUCUACAGCUCUCACUUUAGUUUUGCAUUAGUUCGCUGCUGCUCUGCUUGUGCCUGCUGCUAUCUGCUUGUGAAGCCCGUAAUUUAUUUCUUGUUUUGAUUGAAAUAUUGCUUUACAAGCAAAAAGACACGCACACAAACAGGGAAAGGUUGGGGCCAUGCCAUGGCGGGACGACAGGGCUUAGCAAAUACGCAGGCUCUUGGCUCUUGGCUCUUGGCUCUAGGCUGCAAGUUUGGCCGCCUGGCUGCUGCCUUCAGUUGGAGUGACGGCCUGUCUGAAAUACGCACACCCUUCAUUGUACACUGCUGCACUGAGAGAAAUUUGUAGUAGGCUUAAAUGAGCACAAAGGCGGAAAGACGCGAGGGGCGUGGGGCGAGGUAGAGCUCAGCGACAAGCAGACAGCCAGACAGGCA